rnacentral:rRNA from 1 species
CCGCACCGGAGUCGUGUGGGCGGGUACCGCGCCUACCGGUGUGCAGCUCGUAGGCGGCUCUCCUAUUCCCUGGUGGGAGCAGGGACCUAGCUUGAGAUCGGGAUAGAAAAGGAAGGAGCGGGGAGAGAGCGAGCUAGGGUAGAGGUGGGCUCGCAGUGGCAGCAGUACGGCGGAGGUAUCGGCGCCGGUGGCAGCAGGGGAGCGGGUGACUCGCGCAGGAAGGCGAUGUAGCAGCUGGUGACGGAGUUGGUGUUGGUGGUCUACAUCGUCCCUCGGGGAUGUAGCUGGCCUAGCUCCAGUAGAAGUUGGAGGCGUGGCGGCGAGUGGCAGAAGCUAAGCCGGAGUGGCCUCGGAGGAGCUCGGGCGAAACGAGUGGAUGUCCUAGCUAUGGGGCUCUGACGGCCGCUGGUGGUCAAGCUGAUAACACAACUGCUGGGGAGAGAGAACGGUCUCGUUGGUCUACUACCUCAGAUCCUAGGUCUGCGGUAGCAGCUACUACUGAGGAUGAUGCGGCCUCCACGGAUGAUGAUGCACGUCGGGCGACUGCUGCUGGUUCUCAUCAAUGCUCCUAGGGUUCGUCCUCCGGACGCGGAGAAAGCUAGACAUCGGAUCAAACACGAUCGGAAGAAUUCCGUUUGAACAAAUUGAAUACAGACAUGAGUCUAUAACUACGAAGACGACUGAGCAGAUACUAGCUCGUGAACAUAAGCUCGGGAACUCCGGGGACCGAACAUAAUACUA